CAGAGAUCUUAGGACUGGAGGAGUAGCGAAAUGGAGACAUUGCGAGUAACAUGUGUUUUGUCAAGAAAUUUGCGAAAAAGUAUUUUCUGCGAGAGACAGUUGUUGAACCAUCGACUAUUAACGAUAAAUGUUUUUGCUGCAAGGAACCAAAGUACUCAACAAACCGAUGUUAAGGUGUAUCAUGGACCAUUGGCACAGCAGAUUCGAGGAGUGAAGUUAUUUUCAUUGGUUACUAGUGCAGGCGGUCUGGUUGCUCAGCCGUACCUUAUUCAACAUGCAACAACUUUCGGAAAUUUACCGCUGUCCAUUGCAAUGCUCGGGUUUAUAGGAUGUUUCACAUACGUAACGCCGUUCUUAUUGCAUUGGAUAACAAAAAAGUAUGUGACGGAGAUUAGAUACACGCCAGAUAGGGAAGUUUAUACAGCAGUAGUGUACAACUUUUUUCUGAAGGAGAAAAAGAUAAUAUUUCGCCCAGAGGAUGUCGAAGUACCAGAAGUUCCUGGCAUGUUCUCUUCCUUCCAUGUCAGAGGUAUUCCUUUAUUUGUUGAUCCUAGGAUGUUUGAAGACAAAUCGCAUUAUGCUCGUAUAAUGGGAUAUGACAAACCUCUAGACUUGAAGCUUGGAGACCUGGAAAAUGAUAAGAAAACCUGAUAAGUUCACACCAGUGUGUAUUGAGAAUAAACUGAAAUAAAUUGAGUGACUAUGUUGAAAGUAGUUAAUGUGAGUGAAAUCUUCAAGUGUUAAUGUAUAAUUUUGGGAAAUUUCCCAUGUCUACCAGUUUAGUGCCUUUCUCUGCUUAGUGCUGUUUAGCACUAAUAAAUUAUUGAAGGCACAGUGUAGCUGAACGCCUCGUUGUGUGGUUGCAGGCACAGUGUAGCUGAACGCCUCAUUGUGGCAGCUAAUGGGCAUUGCCAACCACCCUAAUGUCGUGGACACCACAUGUGCUUAAGCCAUCAUGUUCAACUGUAGAACAUAGUGUAUCAGGGAAUGCGCAUCUUGGCAUAAUCACCUAUAGCAAAAUGAAAUAUUUCACUUCAAUUUAUGCAGCUUUGUUAAUGGAUGGUUUCAGUUUUAAAUUUCAGCUUUAAAAAUAUUUAUUAAACAUGUAGAAAUUUAUUCUGAGUUAAAAAAUUUGUUUCAUGUCGAAGUAACUUGUUUGUCAACUUAGCUAUUCAGUUUUAGGCUAUAAGAGACUCCUUUCAAAGCCUUACAUAUUUAUUGUACAUUUGACAAGAGUUAUGUAGAGGGGGGCGGCACCCUCCCCCCUUUCAUUUCUCGUAAUUUAUGUACAUUAUACGCAUCACAAUACUUGUCAGAGACUUGUAUAUUACCUAAUAUAAAUUUUCUGACUUUA